rnacentral:rRNA from 1 species
GACGAACGCUGGCGGCGUGCUUAACACAUGCAAGUCGUACGGGAAGGCCCUUUCGGGGGUCCACGAGUGGCGAACGGGUGAGUAACACGUGCGUAACCUGCCCACAACUUUGGGAUAACGCUAGGAAACUGGUGCUAAUCCUGGAUAUGUGCCCCUGCUGCAUGGUGGGGGUUGGAAAGCUGAGGCGGUUGUGGAUGGACUCGCGGCCUAUCAGCUUGUUGGUGGGGUAGUGGCCUACAGAGGCGGCGCCGGGUAGCCGGCGCGGGAGGGUGACCGGCCACAGUGGGACUGGGAUACGGCCCAGACUCCGACGGGUAGCAGCGGUGGGGAAUAGUGCACAAAGGGCGCAAGCCAGAUGCAGCAACGCCGCGGGCGGGAGGACGGCCUUCGGGUUGGAAACCGAGUUCAGCAGGGACGAAGCUGUUUGUGACGGUACCUGCAGAAGAAGCACCGGCUAACUACGUG